UUCCCCUCCUCGCCUCUCGCCCGCAAGGCCCGCCGGGAAAGCGCCGCCCCGCCCGCCACAGGAAGACUACCGCUCCCGGCAGGCCCCGCGCCGGAAAACCACCAAGCACGCGCUUCCUCUUUGCGCCCCCUACACGCCGGAAGGAAGCAAGCCAGCGAGCGAGAAAGGCCCGCCUGUGUCCGUCCCGGCCUCCGUAGAUCGUGGCUCAGGGCAGGCACAGUUCCCAACAGCCGGAGUCUACCGUACCCCAUGCAGCUGUGGACAAGAAGUCUCCAAAGGGGCCCCAAAGGCAGCCAUGUUCCCAAACAUGAAUCAAGGAACAGGAAAGGCACAGCAGACGAGUUCAGCCAGAGACGUCAGCCAAAGCAGAGCAUGUGAGGAACCCACCCGGGCACAGAAUAUUAUUAUUUGAGAAGACAGAAAGGCUGGACCACUCUCACAACCACCAUGUCAAGUGACGCAGAGAAGCCACCGAAAUCCACAAGAUGCAGGUGGGGAAUUUCAACAGAAAGGAGGAGACCAUGAACAUGAACACAGUCUGGCUCCCAGUAUUUAAACAACUCCAAAAUCAGGACAGUAAAUAAAGAGCAAUACUCAAAAAGCAAGGGUAUUCCAGACAGGAAUCAACCAGGGCCAGCUAACACCUCCCAAAAAAGGAUUCCCCCAGGCAGGAAGCUGCCAGGCUAUGCAGCUACAAGGCCAUUCAAUGCUCAUCAAGGUGGUCAACUGCAUGAUUCACUUGCCUCAAACAGACUUGACUUCUUUCUCGCACCCUGGACAUUAUUACACAGGUAUAUUAACUCCACUUGCCUAGUUUCCAACAGACCUCACGACCUCUAUGGAUGCCUGCCUCAGGAGAGAAAGCUUCUGGAACAUGGCCAGGCAGCCCGAAAGACUCACAGCAUCCCAAUGAUUCUGGCCAUGAAAGCCUUCAACAAUACAUUCAAGGAAGGAAGGUCCGGCUUGAGGUUUGUUUCCGUCCCGGCCUCCGUAGAUCUUGGCUCAAUGCAGGCCUGGGCAGCUUGGGCCCUCCUCGCUCCCUCCCUCCAGGAGUUUGGGACUUCCAACUCCCACCAUUCCUAACAGCUGGUAAUAAUAAUCGUAAUACAAUAUAAUAAUGAUAAAAAUAUUAAAAAGUAAUAUAUAAUCAAAAUAAUUUUAAUAAUAAAAUAUAAAAUAAUAAUAAUAUAUCAUCUCUUAGGAAUUGUGGGGGUUGAAGCUCAAACACCUGAAGGGAGGGCUGAAGUUUGCCCAUGCCUGGUCUAACCCUAUGAAUGAAUGAAUGGUUUAUUGUACCAGCCAUAGGCCAUGAUAGCAAAUAAUAUACACUUUUUCAAAGUACAAUAAGCACUUUCCACUACAUAUAAACAUUAAAACUUAUUCUAUAUACUAGCUCUUUGAAAUUGCAGCAGUGACCUGAUAAUAAUGUCUGAUUUGUAUCAUACCAAACUCUCUCCAUUUCCAUUUCUAUCCUCUGCUGUGGAGUUUACUAAUUUAGCUCAGACUUUUUUGGGCUGUGACUGCAAAUGUGGCUACCUUUUAAUGUUAUAUUUUUUGAAUAAUCUGCUACCAAGUAACAGAUAAGUGUGGGCUGUUGCCAUUCUUCACAAAGGGAUCCCAGAAGAUUGUUUCUAGGGUCAUUAUACAAAGGGCAAUGUAACACGCAGGGCUGCAAAUGCUUUUCUAAGGGCUACAGAUGUUAAGUCUUGAAGGUAUUGGGUUAUUGUGUUUUCCGGGCUGUAUGGUCAUGUUCCAGAAGUAUUCUCUCCUGACGUUUCUGGAACAUGGCCAUACAGCCCGGAAAACAUACAACAACCCUGUGAUCCCGGCCAUGAAAGCCUUCAACAACCUUGAAGGUAUUGUUGACAAUAUUGGUUACUCUUUAGUAGAGGACACCAAGUAGUGAAACCCUGUGUAUCCAUCUCAAAGAUUUUAUCUCUAAUCGCCUUCUUGUCCAACUGCAAUAGGGUUGUUGAUGACCCAUCAAAAUACUGAUGGAGGAGGGCCAGCCAGUAUUGAGCCCACCCUCCCCGCUUAUAUUGCUCCAUUAAGCAUUGCUUUGUUAUUCUCUCAUCCUCCCAUUUCCAGAAGUCUCUUCCCGUAUGAGAUGUUAAGCUUAUGCAUCCUGGCUUUAAAUGAGCUAACCCUAGUCCUGCAGCCCACCACAGUGAGGCACUCUUCAGUGUUGGGCAUUGCUGCCUUUCUGCCACCCGAGCCCCAUAUUUAGGGGGUUGUUUGGGGCCCUUGCAGCCCAGCACUAGGAGCAGAGCCCCCAAUGCACGGCCCAUGCCUGGGAGAAACACUUACUGCCCUGAAGCCACCACCAGCUUCAGAUCCCACCCGUGGUCCCCACCCAGGCUGCAUAGUGUGACAUAGAAACUCCCUGAUCUAUUUUUUGUAAGAAGCACCGCAUCUUCCACCUGGGAGAACAGACAGCCCUUGCAGAGCACCAGAGUCUCACCACAGAGGGGAGAUUAUUCACACCCAGGACCUGGCCCACCAGCCAACUUAUUCGCCGGUGAACUUGGCCAGGGCUCUAUUCCUCCGCAGAUCCAAGGCAGUGCAAACGGAAGGGGCCACCCGCCCUCUGGACCUUUCCACAGGGGACCGAACUCUCAGGGCCCUUCCACACAGCCCUAGAUCUCAGAAUACCAAGGCAGAAAAUCCCACAAUAUCUGCUUUGAACUGGGUUAUGUGUUGGAAUUCAAUCCCACACUGCUCAAGUCUGCCGUCUUCAAUGAGGAACAGUUAGCAUAGAAAUUGCUUGAAUGACAGCUGGCAUGUGUCUAUUUGUUGGUUUCUCUCUUUCUACUCUCAUUCUGAUUGGUUAUGUGGAAUUCAUACUUUACAAGUGCAUGCCUUUGUUUCUGACUUCUGCUUGUUCCAUCUUAGUGUAUUGAGACCUCUCUGCUUGUGUGUAUCAGGAGAGAUGUAGUGAUUGGAGAUUUUUCCCUCUUUUGAACCCUAGAAGAGAUGGAGUUAAGAAAGUAGCUCAGACCCAGUUCUUUACUAUUAAGAAAUGUAGUUAAUAUUUUUGUAAAUAAACAUUUUGCAACUUUAAA